UGGGGAAUAUUGCGCAAUGGGCGAAAGCCUGACGCAGCGACGCCGCGUGAGGGAUGAAGGUUUUCGGAUCGUAAACCUCUGUCAGAAGGGAAGAAACCGCCCUGUGCUAAUCAGCAGUGCCUUGCCGGUACCUUCAAAGGAAGCACCGGCUAACUCCGUGCCAGCAGCCGCGGUAAUACGGAGGGUGCAAGCGUUAAUCGGAAUUACUGGGCGUAAAGCGCACGUAGGCUGCUUUGUAAGUCAGGGGUGAAAUCCCACGGCUCAACCGUGGAACUGCCUUUGAUACUGCUUAGCUUGAAUCCGGGAGAGGGUGGCGGAAUUCCAGGUGUAGGAGUGAAAUCCGUAGAUAUCUGGAGGAACAUCAGUGGCGAAGGCGGCCACCUGGACCGGUAUUGACGCUGAGGUGCGAAAGCGUGGGGAGCAAACAGG
rnacentral:rRNA from 1 species